rnacentral:lncRNA from 1 species
AUUUGGAAGAAAACGAUGACCUGCUUAUAUCCUUCCUGCAAAACAAGACAAAGAAACAACGAAGACGGAUCAAUAUUCGGAAAUGAAGUUGCUCAUGAUUCAAUUCAUGUGGGCUGAUAUACCUGUUUGCCAACAUCUAGGUAGUAGGUAUGUAUAAAUACAAUACAGAUGAUUAAAAUCUGGUGCUGGGAAAUUGUGGAAUGGCCAAGCUGUAUCAUAAAGGGGAACUAGGUGCGUAACUUCGAAACCAAUAUAGCCAUGAUCAUUAAUUUGACCCAGAUUGCCUGCAGUAGAAAAAAGGGUCAAGACCCGGGUUGUGCGUGGCUCUGGCAACUGCAGCAUUUUGCUACUGCAGGAAUCUGAAUUAGAAGAGGACAUAGUUCAAGGUACAGUGAGUUAUUAGAUAAGAAGCAUGCCAAUGGAAUUUUGUUGAGCUUUGGCCUGUAUAAACACAUUUUCGGCCUAGCCCAAUAUAUAAUGUAUACUAUUCAACUGCUAGAAUUUUGUAAGCUUGAAAUGAGUUAGAUUUUGGUUUAGUUACAAUACACUAUCAAACUUUAGGCAUAUAUAUAUAUGAAGAAAUUUUGCAAUCACGAAUAUAAUCAAAUCAAAAACAUCAAAACAGCAAGACUUUAAGAUUAUGAUUCAAC